GACGAACGCUGGCGGCGUGCCUAAUACAUGCAAGUAGGACGCAGUUGCGAACGGGUGAGUAAAGCGUAGGUAACUAACUAUGAGAGGGGGAUAACUAUUGGAAACGAUAGCUAAUACCGCAUACUAGUAGAUGGACCUGCGUUGUGUUAGCUAGUAGGUAGGGUAAUGGACUACCUAGGCAAUGAUACAUAGCCGACCUGAGAGGGUGAUCGGCCACACUGGGACUGCGACACGGCCCAGACUCCUACGGGAGGCAGCAGUAGGGAAUCUUCGGCAAUGGGGGGAAGCCUGACCGAGCAACGCCGCGUGAGUGAAGAAGGUUUUCGGGUCGUAAAGCUCUGUUGUUCAGGAAGCGGUACUUAACCAGAAAGGGACGGCUAACUACGUGCCAGCAGCCGCGGUAAUUC
rnacentral:rRNA from 1 species